rnacentral:rRNA from 1 species
AUUGAACGCUGGCGGCAUGCCUUACACAUGCAAGUCGAGCGGCAGCACGGGAGCAAUCCUGGUGGCGAGUGGCGAACGGGUGAGUAAAGUAUCGGAACGUGCCCAGUCGUGGGGGAUAACGUAGCGAAAGCUACGCUAAUACCGCAUACGAUCUAUGGAUGAAAGCGGGGGAUCGCAAGACCUCGCGCGAUUGGAGCGGCUGCAAUUAGAUUAGGAAGUUGGUGGGGUAAAGGCUCACCAAGCCGACGAUCUGUAGUUGGUCUGAGAGGACGACCAGCCACACUUGGACUGAGACACGGCCCAGACUCCUACGGGAGGCAGCAGUGGGGAAUUUUGGACAAUGGGCGAAAGCCUGAUCCAGCCAUGCCGCGUGCAGGAUGAAGGCCUUCGGGUUGUAAACUGCUUUUGUACGGAACGAAAAGGUUUGGCCUAAUAAGCUGAGCUCAUGACGGUACCGUAAGAAUAAGCACCGGCUAACUACGUGCCAGCAGCCGCCGUAA